rnacentral:rRNA from 1 species
AUGGUUGUCGUCAGCUCGUGUCGUGAGAUGUUGGGUUAAGUCCCGCAACGAGCGCAACCCUUGAUUUUAGUUGCCAGCAUUUAGUUGGGCACUCUAAAGUGACUGCCGGUGCAAGCCGGAGGAAGGUGGGGAUGACGUCAAAUCAUCAUGCCCCUUAUGACCUGGGCUACACACGUGCUACAAUGGAUAGUACAAAGGGUCGCGAAGCCGCGAGGUGGAGCUAAUCCCAUAAAACUAUUCUCAGUUCGGAUUGUAGGCUGCAACUCGCCUACAUGAAGCCGGAAUCGCUAGUAAUCGUGGAUCAGCAUGCCACGGUGAAUACGUUCCCGGGCCUUGUACACACCGCCCGUCACACCACGAGAGUUUGUAACACCCGAAGUCGGUAGGGUAACCUUUAUGGAGCCAGCCGCCGAAGGUGGGACAGAUAAUUGGGGUGAAGUCGUAACAAGGUAGCCGUAUCGGAAGGUGCGGCUGGAUCACCUCCUUU